CCCUCUGGCUCAACAGACUGGCUGGCCGUGUUCGGGACCCAUCUGGGGUGUGGAGAAAGGCCAAUCCAGAAGGGCCAGUGGGAGGCACGGCGCUCAGCAUUAACGGGCAGGCUCUUCUCAGGACGCACGACUUUUUUCUCUCCAUUCUGAGGACAGGUGUUCAGUCCAAUCCAGCAGAGCCAGUUGGAGGGCUGGCCCUUGGUCUGAACGGGGCUCUGCUCCUCACGAAAGACCUUGUUCUUCUUCCCGUCCUCGGUCUUGGGGGAGCAAGAUGUCAGUCCAAGCCUGCAGAGCCAGUUGGAGGGCUGGCUCUUGGACUCAAAGAGGCUGUGCUCCUCGGGAAGGACCUGGUGUUUCUUGCUGUCCUCGAUCUUGGUGGAGCAGGAUGUUAGUCCAAACCAGCAGAACCAGUUGGAGAGCUGGCUCUUGGACUUAACAAGACGCUGCUCUUCGUGAAGGACCUGUUCUGUUUUCCCGUGCUCUGUGUUGGUGGAGCAGGAUGUUAGUCCAAGCCUGCAGAGCCAGUUGUAGGGCUGGCUCUUGGACUCAAACAGGCUCUGCUCCUCGGGAAGGACCUGGUCUUUCUUCCCGUCCGCGAUCUUUGUGGGGCAGGUGGUUAGGCCGAACCAGCAGAGCCAGUUGGAGGGCUGGGCCUUGAUGUCAACCGGGCUCUGCUUCUCGUGAAAGACCUGCCUUUUGUUCCCGUCCUCCAUCUGGUUGGAGCAGAUGUUUUGGCAAAACCAGCAGAGCCAGUUGGAGGGCUGGCUCUUGGUGUCAGUAGGUCCGUGCUCCUGGUGAAGGACGUUCCUUUUGUUGCCAUCCUCGAUCUUGGUGGGGCAGGUGUUUAGACCAAGCCAGGAGAGCCAGCUGGAGGGCUGGCACUCGGUGUCUAAGGGAUGCUGCUCCUCGGGAUGGAGCAGCUUUUUGUCCCAACUCCCGACCCAGCUGAGGCAGCUGGACGU